rnacentral:tRNA from 1 species
GCAAAGGUGCCAGAGUAUAUGGGUUGGUUUUAAGCAUCAAACAUGGGUUGAUUUCCCCCUAUGCA